rnacentral:rRNA from 1 species
UACGUAGGGUGCAAGCGUUGUCCGGAAUUAUUGGGCGUAAAGAGCUCGUAGGCGGUUUGUUGCGUCGGCUGUGAAAUCCCGAGGCUCAACCUCGGGUCUGCAGUCGAUACGAGCAAACUAGAGUGUUGCAGGGGGAGACUGGAAUUCCUGGUGUAGCGGUGAAAUGCGUAGAUAUCUGGAGGAAUACCGGUGGCGAAGGCGGCAUCCUGGACCGAGAUUGACGCUGAUGAGCGAAAGCUAGGGGAGCAAACGGGG